CUUCCAUGUUUACUGACAACUGAGCAGCCAACUGGGAAACCUCAUGUAGUUCUCUAGCUUUAUUUCAGACUAGAGGAGAGCUACCCAGCUUUGUUUUUCUCUCCCAGCUGCCCUUGUUAACCUAAUAAGAGAGCAUCCACCUUUGAACUUCACCUAGCACGUUAGUAAGAACUCACUUCCUAGAUAUCUAAAGCUGUUAAGAACAGUAUCUGUGCCCACUAGCCCAUGAAUUGCAAUCAUUUGCACAUCACCUUUUCAUACCAUGCAGAAUCACACAGGGUAUCUCUUCACACUUACUUUCCCCUCACCAAAUACCUCAAAACUGAAAUGAGUCACUUUGCAAUGGAAAUUAUUUCAAUAAAUCUAAUGAAAGGAUUUGUUAGUAAUUUGAUAACUUCAGCAUGAUAACUUUUCUUCCCUCUUAUUUGCAGCAUUUAUAUGGGCAAACAAGGAGGGCACAGAACAAUGCCCCUGACCCAAAUGUUUUCACCAGCUUGGACAGAGGAGGGAUUGAACGAGGGCCCCGUGUUUCAGAUCAGCCCCAGGCUUUGGCCUACUAAUUGUUGUGAAUCUCUGACAGCAGAGCCUGUUAUUCAUGCUCCCAGCAAUAGGACUGCAUCAAUGGGCCAACUGUCUCUGAACUGUAAAUCAUGCUGCAUUUCUUUACAGAAGAGAAAACCCACUGAGAGAACUGAUUCUAUUUGGGUGAGUUGUACUGAAGAAAUAUUGCUAUUUUAGAAAUAACCGUUAUUGGUUUUGAUUUGAUGUGGAGUACAAUAAAGCUCGAGCUGAAUUAUGCA
rnacentral:lncRNA from 1 species